GAAUUGAAAGCUAACUUUAAGCAUUGGUCUUGUAAACCAAAGAUCGAGAAUAUCUCUCAAUUCU
rnacentral:tRNA from 1 species